ACCUCCAUAAUUUCAACUUUCAACCUACACACAUACCACUUAAUAUCUCCCGCACAAAAAUAACUCAAAUCCAGAUAUACCCUCCCUCAGUUAUUUUUUUGUUCAGUACCACAUAACAACCCUUUUUUUUCCCAAUCCAAACCACACCUCACAAUCAAAAUUUGAAAAAGAAGAAAAAGAGAAAAAGUGAACAAGAUCAUGUUGGCAGCAACACAACUUUUGUUCAUCAUCUCUCACACCAUAAGUAACUCCACUUUCUUAUUCUUCACAUACAGUAGCCAUAACACCAUUUACAUAACUCCAUAUUUCCAUAUAUAUAUCCAAACACAACCUUGUAUCACUAACCUUCUAUUCAUUCCAACAUAAUACUCCAACCUCUACCCACUCUAAACCUUAUCAGCCCCAUCAUGAAAUCGUGACCAACCACCGCGUUUUAGCUCCGGUCAGCCACCACUCCCCACCCUAUGUGAUUCCAUUUGGUCGACCACAAUGCUCCCAAACAUAAGACAAAGCGCAACCACACUCUCCUUUUCGUGAAACACAACUCACAAACCACUACAACAACUGCAGAUCCAUUUCGUGAUGCAAAUAUUGCGGAUGCGGGCGGCACCGCAAUUGCGGUGUGAAAUGAAAUCACAUGGAAUCUCCGCAACAAAACCGCAUCGCCGCCGCACCGGACUGCAUCGCCCCCAUACCAGACCGCAUCAUCACCACAUCACACCGCAUCAUCACUGCAUCGGAACGCAUCACUGCUGCAACAAGAAGUCUUAUUCAUUUUUAUAUAAUUUUGUGUUCGGUGCGAGUAUAAAAGUAUUUCACAGUGCAAUGGCCGCACUUCGCAUCGUAGCAACCGUAUUAGCCGCAUCCGCAACUGCAACUGCAAUUGCAUCCGCAGCCGUAACCUCAAUUUAAAACCAUGGCGUCAAUACACGUUUGCUUUUUGCUAUUUUACGUUUCGACACGUGACUUUUGCUUUCUUUAUGUUAUAUUUGUAGUGUUGAAUUUAUUUGCAAUGACCACACUUUGCGCUAGCAACUUGUAAUUUGAUUUGUGUUGACAUACAAA